rnacentral:lncRNA from 1 species
GCUUGAGCCACAGAGCAGGGUGAAGCUUUACAGUUCUGGAGUAGAAGUAUGAAUGGGAUUGAAGUAUUUACGUGGAGGACUCUGAACUCCUUCCCUUCCUGAGUCAGGAAGGAUAGGGGCCUGCUUUGAGACCUACUGAAGCUGUCUUGAAUGAUGUGACAAAUGGCUCUCCGCAUGUACUGAGAUGCAGCACAGCCAGGAGAGCCCCUGGCCCCUGAAUACUACCUUCAGAUGGAGGAGGGAAAAUAACAUCUACAGGCACGGUAAUGUCUUCACUUUGCUACAAGAUGCAGAUGGAUCACUCCUUGCCAGCUUUCAAGGCAAAUAUUGCUGUAUAGUCCUUGCCCUCAGCAACAUCGUCAGUGUCCUGGUGAUGGGUGCUUUGAAAGGAUUGGGCAGAAGAGACGUCAUGCUACCUCUGCACAUCAGACUCUCUGUUCUGUUGCAUUUUUGGAGGGGAACCAAAAGGAAUGGAAGAGCAGCAUCAGUCUCUGAAUAACAAAUCUUAUUUUCUCCAUGGAAUAGUUCUUCAAGAAUGAAACAG